UAAGCACUUUCACAGGCCCUUCGCCAGGCUGUGGGGCCAGGCUUUGGUAGCUGGAGCGGAAAGAAAAAACUUUGGUUGCAUCCUUGCCCUGGGUCUGUGCCAGUGGCAGCUGUCAAUCAAUGGGAUGAAG